rnacentral:rRNA from 1 species
CAGCCGCCGCGGGAAUACGUAGGUGGCAAGCGUUGUCCGGAAUUAUUGGGCGUAAAGCGCGCGCAGGUGGUUUAAUAAGUCUGAUGUGAAAGCCCACGGCUCAACCGUGGAGGGUCAUUGGAAACUGUUAAACUUGAGUGCAGGAGAGAAAAGUGGAAUUCCUAGUGUAGCGGUGAAAUGCGUAGAGAUUAGGAGGAACACCAGUGGCGAAGGCGGCUUUUCGGCCUGUAACUGACACUGAGGCGCGAAAGCGUGGGGAGCAAACAGGAUUAGAGACCCCGUAGUCCCUGUCUCUUAUACA